GCACGCAAGUGAUUCUGUGCGAAGAUGUACACUUCAUUUUCAUGGGAAAUGAAGGACGCAUUUGAAGUCGCUUUUUUGGAAUUACGUCAGCCUUCGUCGUGACGCUGUGACGCAAUCGCACUAAACAUCCGCACUUCGGAGUCCAUGCACUUAAGUUUGGGACACAGCUACAGUUAGACACAACUGUGGCAGCUCUUCAUCAACGCUCAUCUUUUACAGCAAGUCACAGGACAUCGCAUACAAACCAUGACAAGUUGGGGGAGCCUGGAUGAAGUGGGUGAAGCAUGGUGGGAGUCGGCAUAUAAGCUGUUUCUUGAAAACGAUCCAAUGAGAACGACUCUGAGUAAUGUUGCUUAUUAUAUAAGUGGCGAUAACUGGGAUGAUUAUGGAUUCAGCCGUGACACACACGUUCCUCCAACUGGGGAAUUCCGUGGUGUUUCUAGAAAGGCAAUCUUGGUGGUGAUUUCAAGAAAAAGGAGCAUGGAGUGGGGUGACUGGAAGAAGUUACAUGGGACAAGAUCUGAUACUGAACCUGAGGAUCUAAACCACUCGGACAAGAGAGUUAUAAACUGGAUUACUGAAGAGAUAUAUAACGAGGACGGGAGCCCAAAAC
ensembl:lncRNA